rnacentral:rRNA from 1 species
AGUGAACGCUGGCGGUAGGCCUAACACAUGCAAGUCGAACGGCAGCACAGUAAGAGCUUGCUCUUACGGGUGGCGAGUGGCGGACGGGUGAGGAAUACAUCGGAAUCUACUUUUUCGUGGGGGAUAACGUAGGGAAACUUACGCUAAUACCGCAUACGACCUACGGGUGAAUGCAGGGGAUCUUCGGACCUUGCGCGACUGAAUGAGCCGAUGUCGGAUUAGCUAGUUGGCGGGGUAAAGGCACACCAAGGCGACGAUCCGUAGCUGAUCUGAGAGGAUGAUCAGCCACACUGGAACUGAGACACGGUCCAGACUCCUACGGGAGGCAGCAGUAGGGAAUAUUGGACAAUGGGCGCAAGCCUGAUCCAGCCAUACCGCGUGGGUGAAGAAGGCCUUCGGGUUGUAAAACCCUUUUGUUGGGGAAGAAAAGCAGCAGGUUAAAACCCCGCUGUUCUGACGGUACCCAAAGAAUAAGCACCGGCUAACUUCGUG